CUUGUCUAAACUUUUUCCUCAUUGAACAAUUUGUCAAAAGUCUAACACAUGGAAAAAUAAAAUUUUACAUGUUCAAUAAAACUGUAACCCUAUCUUCCGAUGAUAAGAAAUAUGGAAAAAGAAAAUCUGAAAUACAUAACUAAGAUUAAGUUCUUCUGCCUCCUUCUGCUUCACAACAUGAAUUCCCGAGUCUAGUUUCCCCCAUCCUGCAGAAAUAACCAUAUGUUAUGUACAUCAUUCAUUUUACACACUAUGCUCAAGACACGGAAUUUUGAAUCCUAUAAGACAUAUGAGGCCAUUCUGCUCGGCGCUCAAUCACAGCAACCAAGUAAUUUAAACGUCAACUAAAUGUAAAUAACAAUCAAAAGAACUGUGCAUAAACAAAACAGUUGACAUCUAUAACAGGCAAAAUAAAGAUAAAAAUCAUUAUAUCGAGAAUAAAAAUUAGUUCCAAAAACAUCCUUUGACAUAUGUUGCUACAGCCUAAUGUAAAUACUAAAUUCUCACAUUGCUUUACAUAAAUAGUUUCGCAGGCUCAUGAGGGAAUAGGUAGUAAACAACCAGAGAGGUUAUUAAGAAAACAAUUCUACACAUUCUCUAGUUUAUGCUAUGAAGAACUGACACAGACACAACACAUCACUGACACUGGUAAUAAUUGGAAAUAUGGUAUAAUUAAAUGUAAUCAGAAGUUGCUGCAUCUUGAUGUUUACAAUGCACGGAUGCAACAUUGGUAAUAAUUGGAAAAAAUGGUAUAAUUGAAUGUGAUCAGAAGUGUCGAUGAUGCAUAGUAUUUAUGUAUCAAUCAGUUGCUGCAUUUUGGAUGUUUACAAUACAUCAUGAUUGAUGAAUAACAUCAUGGCAAUUGGCGAUUGUCAAUUGAUGAAUCAUAAACCUUAUUGUCGCAGAUAUGUUUAUUUAUAAAUUAGAAGUUUAGAAAUAGUAGUAGAUUUAAAACAAAAUUCACUUCUAUCAUUGACUUACUGUCAGUUUGUGAUGCUAAAGAAAAUUCAACAUCAAAAGCAAUACCAUUUAGACGAACAUUAUAAAACCACAACCAAUGCAGAGAAAAUCACCAAUCAAUCAUAACUAAGAACAAACUAAAACAAUGCAUUGUAAACAUACAUGCAAGCUACUUUUUUCCAUUGUAAAUCAUACAAAAAAUUAUCACAAGUAAAUCCAUUAUGCAUGAAAAUCAUAAAUACAACCAAACAGAUCACCCACUUCAAAAAUCCCCUGAUUCAUAUUAAGAUCUCAAAUCAAAUUGUCGAUGUAGCACCGACACUUCCAAUGGAAGAUGUGUCUGGUGUCAAACACAUGUGAUCACAUUAAACUAAACCAUUUUUUUUUUCAAACUUUUAGCAGUUACCAUGCAUUGCAGCAAACAUGCAUGCUAUUUUUCCUUUGUAAAUCAUAACAAAAUCUCUCACAACUAAAACCCAUUAUGCAUAAAAACCAUAGUACACCCAAACAAAAUACCCACUUCAAAAAAAACCUUAAUUCAAUCAAAUUAUUUCAAAUUACCAACAUUUACAUCAGAAAUUCAUACAAACCAAAUUCCAUAAUCAAACAAAUUAAAAAAAAUCACAAAACAAAGAUAAAAAAAAAUCAUAAUUUCAAUACAAAAAACAAAGAAAUAGAUCAAAAAUUGAAGUUUUACCUAACCAGAUCCAACGAUGAUGUUGUUGAUUGGAAUAAAGAUAAGCUUAACGAAAAACCCAACAAAUCCCAUCACAACGAAACCAAUCGCGGUACGAACAGCAACCUUAGAGAAUUCUACAAAACAACAAAAUCACAAUAAAAAAUCAAGAUCCACAAUAUAGAGAUUUAAAUCAAGUAAAUCGAAUUGAGAAUUUAGGGUUAUACCUUUGCGAUCGGGUUUGUGGCAACGCUUAACGAGCCUAACGCUGUCUUUGGCGAAUUCUCUGAGUGGAUCGAAGACGGAAUCAAUGGCAUCCAUUUUCUCGCGAAUUGAGAAUUUGAAGUAUGAGAAAUUGAAUCGAGUAGAAUGAGAAG
rnacentral:lncRNA from 1 species